rnacentral:lncRNA from 1 species
GAGGAGGUGCCUGGAUGACUGCCCUGAGCCUGCAGGAAUUGUAUCCACUGGUUUUGUUGCCCACAGUCAUUACGGGAAUGCUGAUGAUCACCUGUGCUUAGGACGAGCCCCAGGAGCUCUGUGUUGAUGCAGGGCUUCCCUGCAGAUGGUGCUGCGGCCCGGAGAAUGCUGCUAGCGAUAGGUGGGGAGAGGGGCAGCUGCACCUGAGGGUUCAGCAAAAGGUGGGCUCCCUCACGGGGCUGGUGGUCGGCUGGCUGUCAGCUGAGAGUGAUUAAGAACUGCCUUUCAGAAAAUCUGCAAAAUCACACAGCCAGGGCACGUGCAAAAGAAGAUAUUGUACCUGAAACGACCUUGGAACUAAAGAUCCUCCUCCCCACGGAACCCAAGGACGGAGACGUGACCGGAACCUGAAGAGCCUUCGCCAGGAAAUGAAGACGUGAAGACAUGUCACAGCCGGGUAUUUUCAGGCUGGCUUGAUGAAGAGUGGACGGCCGUGUGGAAAGAUCAUCGCCCAAGGACCACUUGUCCUCGACUGUACUGAGCAAGGCCCGUUCCUUCAGGAUCCUCCCGGGGUCCCUCCGUCUUCGGAGGUAGGGUGCUCCUUUCCUCCAGACAUAGUCGCGGCCUCCGGGCUGGAAGGGGCAUUCAUGGCUUCUGUUCAGCUGGGCGUUUGCAGAGGUGAGGCUGUGCACGGGUUCGGGCGUGGGAGCCACGAGGGCGCGGGCGCGUGGGAAGAUGAAGGAGCCGGUCAUGCUGCGAAGAGGAGCUCAGAGUGCGAAGAUCGGCAAACAGACGGCUUACUACCUGCAAGGCGGCC